GCCCUCGUAGUUCAAUGGAUAGAACCAUGGUUUCCGGUACCAUUAAUCCGAGUUCGACCCUCGGCGGGGGUG
rnacentral:tRNA from 1 species